rnacentral:misc_RNA from 1 species
CGAGCAACAGUUACUGGAUCAAUUGAUUCUGUUAACCAUCGUCACACUCUUAAACAUUUUCCAGGCUCUGAACAUGAUCUUACAGAUGCUAUACGUUUGCAACUUGUUUCAUCCCUAAGGGUCUAUCCGGAAUUUAGCUUGUUGUAUCUCAAUCAUGAUGCAAAAUUGAACCUGUCAAUUACUGGAGGAAGUUGCUUCAUUGAUGCUGCAGUAAAUGAUACUCAAGUUGUGGAUAUAAUUCAGCCUGCUCCCGGUUUACAGUGUGUACAACUAUUACUGGCUCCUAAAAGUUUGGGAAUUGCACUUGUGACUGUUCGAGAUGUGGG